rnacentral:rRNA from 1 species
GUGCCAGCAGCCGCGGUAAUACGGAGGAUGCAAGCGUUAUCCGGAUUUAUUGGGUUUAAAGGGUGCGUAGGCUGUGCGGCAAGUCAGGGGUGAAAGCCCGUCGCCUAACGACGGAACUGCCUUUGAUACUGUCGCGCUGGAAUACGGAUGCCGUGGGAGGAAUGAGUAGUGUAGCGGUGAAAUGCAUAGAUAUUACUCAGAACACCGAUUGCGAAGGCAUCUCACGAAUCCGUCAUUGACGCUGAGGCACGAAAGCGUGGGGAUCAAACAGGAUUAGAUACCCUGGUAGUCCACGCAGUAAACGAUGAUGACUAACCGUCGGCGAUACACAGUCGGUGGCCAAGCGAAAGCGAUAAGUCAUCCACCUGGGGAGUACGUUCGCAAGAAUGAAACUCAAAGGAAUUGACGGGGGCCCGCACAAGCGGAGGAACAUGUGGUUUAAUUCGAUGAUACGCGAGGAACCUUACCCGGGCUCGAACGGCAAGCGAACGAGGCAGAGAUGCCGAGGCCCUUCGGGGCGCUUGUCGAGGUGCUGCAUGGUUGUCGUCAGCUCGUGUCGUGAGAUGUUGGCUCAAGUGCCAUAACGAGCGCAACCCUUGCUGCCAGUUACCAGCACGUGAAGGUGGGGACUCUGGCAGGACUGCCACCGCAAGGUGUGAGGAAGGCGGGGAUGACGUCAAAUCAGCACGGCCCUUACGUCCGGGGCGACACACGUGUUACAAUGGUGACUACAGAGGGAUGCCACCCAGCGAUGGGGAGCGGAUCUCGAAAAGUCAUCUCAGUUCGGAUUGGAGUCUGCAACUCGACUCCAUGAAGCUGGAUUCGCUAGUAAUCGCGCAUCAGCCAUGGCGCGGUGAAUACGUUCCCGGGCCUUGCACACACCGCCCGU